AAGUCGUAACAAGGUUUCCGUAGGUGAACCUGCGGAAGGAUCAUUAACACGUAUCCACGUAUCAACUAAUACCACGAACUGUUCUCCCCGUAGACACCCUACCUCUGCGCUGUCUUUCGAGUUUAUAAUGGGUCGCACUUCGGUGUGACAGAGCUCGGACGCACUAUUCACUCUCCGAGGUGAAGGCAAAGUAACUGGCUUGUCGGGCUUUAUUCUUCAUUCCAUUGAAUGUACCCAUUUUCCAUUCAUGGUUUGAUAACCCAUACCAUUUUCACCCUAUUUUACCUAUUUGACUAAUAUAACUUCAUUGGCAGCAAUGUCUUUGAUUUUCUAAGAUUUAUCUUAACUAAGCACAACUCUUAGCAAUGGAUAUCUUGGUUCUC
rnacentral:misc_RNA from 1 species